AUAACGGUUUGGAAGUACUUGUU
rnacentral:misc_RNA from 1 species